rnacentral:rRNA from 2 species
UGAGGUAACGCCUCCCCAUGGCGGCGGUGCGUAACCGACCUGUGAGGGUGAUCGGCCUCACUGGGACUGGAACACGGCCCAGUCUCCUACGGGAGGCAGCGAUAGGGAAUCUUCCGCAAUGGACGAAGGUCUGACGGAGCAACGCCGCGUGAGUGAUGGAGGCUUUCGGGUCGUAAAACUCUGUUGUUAGGGAAGACCAGGUGCUAGCUGAUUAGGCUGGCACCUUGACCGUACCUAACCAGAAGGCCACGGCUAGCUACGUGCCACCAGCGCGCGGUAAUACUGUUGGGUGGCGAGCCUUAUCCGGGAUCUUUGGGCGUAGACGCGACGCCCAGCGUGGUCUCGUAAGUCUGAUGUGAAAGCCACACCGCUCCACCUGGGGAGGGUCAUUGGAAACUGGGAGACUGGGGUGCGAGAAGGGUGAAAGUGGGAUUCCCAUGUGUAGCGGUGAAGUGCGUAGAGAUGUGGAGGCACACCAUCUGGCGAAAGGGGGCGCCUUUCUGGUCUGUAACUGACACUGAGGCGCGAAAGCGUGGGGGAGCAACACAGGAUUAGAUCCCCUGGUAGUCCACCCCGUAAACGAUGAGUGCUAAGUGUUAGAGGGUUUCCCCCCUUUAGUGCUGGAGCUAACGCUUUAACCACUCCGCCUGGGGAGUACGGCCGCAACACUGAAACUCAAGGAAAUUGACGGGGGCCCCCCCAAGCGGGGGGGCAUGUGCUUUAUUUCGAAGCAACGCGAAGACCCGUCCCAGGUCUUGACAUCCUCUGAACACCCUGGAGAUAGGGCUGCUCCUUCGGGAGCCGAGUGACAGCGUGCUGCACGGUUGUCGUCAGCUCGGGUCGUGGCAUGGUGGGUUAAGUUCCGCGACCAGUCGCUACCCUUGAUCUUUGUUGCCAUCAUUAUGUUGGCCCCUCUAAAGUGGACGCCGCGGACAAACCGGAGGAAGGGCGGGGAGUCGUCAAUUCGUCUGGCCCCUUUUGACCUGGGCUACACACGUGGUACAAUGCGCGGUACAGCGACGUGCGUGACCGCGAGGGGGAGGUAAUUUCCUAAAACCGUUUUCAGUUCG